rfam:Schistosoma margrebowiei strain Zambia genome assembly, scaffold: SMRZ_contig0003690
AUCCAUUUAACGAGUCUCAAAUAGGACGAAACGCACGUCCUGGAU